rnacentral:tRNA from 1 species
AUUUAAAUAGUUUAAUAAAAAUUUUGAUUUGUGGAGUCAAGGAUAUACAUUAGUAUUUUAGAUA